UCGGGAGAGACGAGGUCUU
rnacentral:rRNA from 1 species